CAAAAAAAAAGUAGUUCACUGGUCAUGGUGAUAGCGACUGUUCAUGUUGUCUGAAAUAAAAAAAAUCGAAUGGAUUAUUAUUCAGUAGUUCUGCGGCUUUCGUCCCUACCAAAUAUAAUCAAUUUCAUUAAAAAAAAUGUCGAACUUCAAAAAAAAAGUCACGAAAAUCUUGAUUUUUUUUCGUUAAAAAUCGUUUAAAAAAUAUGAAAAUAUUUUCGAAAAUAAAAAAUUCUGGUAGGACGAUAACUAUAAAUGAGUAGAAGAACAUACAAGUAUGUAAAUUUUAAAGCAAUCGGUUGAAUAUUUUGUUUUUAGGACCAUAACAGUUUCAGAAAAUGAUGAUUCGAGUAAAAUGCGUUUAGAAAUGUAGCAGCUGUAGACUUGUCAUGGCGCCUGGUAGACAGUCGCUUACGACACGUCGGCGACUAUGAGCUGUAACUUAUCAAAUACUAUGAAUUUCGGUCUGAAUUUUUCCCAGCAUGUUUUCAAUAGGUUUCACUGUCAAAAUAUAAAAAAAAUCGAUUUUUCGAAGUGAUUACAUGAGAAUAUCCCCUUAAUAAAUGUACAAUAAAUUUAUUCGGAAUAAAUUACUAACGCAGGUCAAUGCUAUGGUGGAUCUAAAAGAUGGUGAAAUUGCUCAUGACUCUGGAAAAGAAAAGUUAUUAUUUACUGAAUGUGGAGACAUAAAUAUUAUAGAAAUUCAAUACAGUAACAUACCUCUUGAAGUGAAAAAUGAGCGAGAAACGAUCAAAUGCAUUUGCAGACCCAAAUAAAUAUUUACCUUAUAAUACAAACAUCGUUGCAACCAUUCGUACAAGACAUGAAGAGCCUAUAUAUUCUAAGUUAUACCCUUCUCCAUUAGGUGUAGGAGAUUUUGUGAAAAAUGAAAUAAAGGAACUUUUACGUAAUGGCAUUAUUAGGCCCUCUAGAUCUCCUCAUAACAACCCAAUUUGGGUAGUGGACAAAAAAGGUUUCGAUGAGUUAGGUAAGAAGAAGAAACGCUUGGUAGUAGAUAUUCGAAAAUUAAAUGAUAUAACCAGAGAACGUAUAUUUACAGAGAAGGUUCACGAUAACGAAAAUUUAGGGAUAUUUCAAUUUUGGGAUAUUUACUGUUUUGGAUGAGCGUGUUUCACCACAGAAAAUUAUUAGCGUGUUUCACCACUUAACAUCAGGGGCAUGAAAAUAGCAGAAUUGAGCAUUUUCAGUGUUAAAUGAGAGCAAUAAUGAUAAUUCCAAUGUUAAGGAAUGUACGCUUACAGAUUCCCUUUUUUACUAUGCGCAAACGAUGCUGCAUAUAAUUUAUAUAUGUACAUACAUGCAUACAUAUGUAUGUAUGUAUAUUUUCUAUAUAUUUUAUAUCAAAGCACACAAGCAUGUUUAUACGUACAUACAAAUUGAACUAUUUCAUGAUGAAUUCCUUAAAAUCUUUGGAAAUAUAUAAUAAAGUCAUACAUGCAUUAUUACCUAUGUAUGUAUGUAAAUCUUUAAUUAAUGUACAUAGGCUUGAUAAGAUACAUAUGUAUAUAUGUAUGUACAUACAUAUUUAUUUACAGGUCAGGUCUUUAAAAGUUUUGAUAACAUGUUAAAAGACCAAGCGGUCGCACAUAUUCACGUACAUAUGUAUGUAAUUAUGUGUGUAUGUAAACAAGAAGAAACAUACGCAUAAUGUUUGUAAAUUUGUCUACCCACAACUUUGUAUGUAAAUGUGUACAAUUAUUGCUUCAUGCGAAAUCUUCGUUUCACGGGCAACCAAUGGCUGAAGCUUAAGUUUUUUCAAAGAGUCACGCCCGGAACACAUUGAGCGGGGCAGACUGCAAGCGACAUCUGUGAAAUAUUAAAAUAUACACGUUCAUAUGGACACAGUUAUGUAGAUGUGCAGCUGUCUAAAUAACUGUGUCCUUAAGAAUGUGUGUAUUUCAAUAUCAGAUUCAGAUGGCGCUUGCAAUCUGUCGCGUUCUAUGUGUUCAGCACAUCAAUCAGUCGAAGCACUGACGCGACGAGACGCGAAAGAAACUAACAAACGAUCGCCGAUUGUUACCGCUUCCCUUGCCGCUGUAACAGCUUUGCGUUCCAACGUGCGUAAAUAUGUAUGCAUAUGUAUGAGCUCUCAUACAUAUCGACGCAGAUUUUUGCGAGUCACGGAAAAAUAUUUUAGACAAAUAUUAUAAAUCGACAACUCCUAUGUUGCCACUUUUGUCACUUCUUUCUGUGAAGAAGUAUCAGAAAGAUGUUCAAUUUAUGAUUUUUAGCUUUUGCCAUCGUCGCGAAAAGACGCUUGUUGGCAAAGGCCUGCUCGGGGAGAUGUAAUGGUGUCUACUUUUAUGAAUGAAGCGAGGUCGCUUGUGGCAUAUGCCCCUGCGUUUAUGAAUGAAAUCGGUUUUGUUGUAAAAUUUACUACAUUUGGGCUUCGCCAAUUCGGCUGUGAUAUUGACUUGUGACGUUGCUGAUGCUAUAUUAGACGAUUGUUGUUUUUGUAGAACAAUAUUUGUACUUUUUGCGGGUGACAUAUCUACAUGUGAACGCAUAUAAGUAUGUAUGUUGUGUAUGCAUUAUUUGUGAGGGAAUGCCAUACGCACAUAUCUACAUGUGUACGCAUAUAAGUAUGUAUGAUGCUAUUUGAAACAAUUCUUGUUUUUGUAAAGCAAUGUUUGUAGUUUUUGUGGGUGACAUAUUUACAUGUGUACGCAUAUUUGUAUGUUGGUGUGUAUAUACAUUAUUUGUUCGGCAAUGUCGUACACAUAUGCAUAUGUAAGUAUGUACAUAUCGAGCAGUGCGCGCACACUUUUUACUGAUAAAUGAUAAUAUUAGGAUUUCAAUUUGAAUUCUACCUACACAAGUAUGUAUGUAUGUAACUAUGUGCUAAUAUCUAGAUGCAUAUGAAAAUUUAAAUGAUGAAAUGUGAUUUACAUAUGAUAUUGUUGUAAUAUAUAGUAUUAAGUGUUUUAGGGUAUCUCAUAUACAUAUGUAUAUAGCAUCAACCAUAUUCAUACAUAUUUAUAUGAAAUUAUAUAAUAUUAUCAAACAUUAUAAAUAUUUAAUAAAUAACUCUUAUUCGCACAUUAACUACAAACAUAGUUUUGAAAAUUGCAUAAUUUUAUUAGAAUGUUAUCAGUUUUGCAUGCAUUCAGAAAGAUAUGCAAAAUGAUAAUCAUAUCAAUUAAUAUGAUUGCAUGUAAACGUAUAUAAUUAUAUCCAAAAGAAUAACAUACGUCUGUAAUAAGAAUGUAUAUUUCUGAGCAUAAUUUUCAUUGAAUGCUCAGCUCUGUUCACGCGCCACUGUUAAAGUUUCUCCUUCUUAGCUAGCUGUGGGGAAACACGCUCAUCGCAUUUUGUUAGCUUUUGACAGUUUACACGCUUGUCCGUUGUUGGACCUUCUCUGUAAAUAUACGUUCUCUGGUUCUACUUCGAAAUUUACAAUUCUGCCUAUCAUGCAUUUCGAUCGUAGCUCCGUUUUGCUAAGUUGCAAUUUUGUUGGCGGAGACCUUUUUGUGUUUUUAUUUUGUUGAGAAAAUUUUAUUAUUUGCGUGAUUUUUUUUUAAUUUUCUAAAAAUGUCAAAAACAACAACACCAGAGCAAUAUGGAAAAUUGGCAGAUAUGAUGGAGAGUAAGCUAGAUAUAGCCAACGGUUUCCACCAGCGUCCUAAGGAAGAUGUGCAGGCUUUUUGGAAAGAGGUAGCAUCAAAUUUACUUGCCGUCGUUUCUUCCGCAAACGUAUCUAGGACAUGCGUCCUUAUUCAGACGAAAGUUUUUCUGAAUCUAAAUAAGUAAACAAAUUGUAAGAAAAAUGUCUACUUUCACGUGCAAUUACUUACAGCCCGUCAUUCAUCUGGAAGGGAUCGCACAUAUCUCGUAAUCAUCUCCUUUCAAUUCUCACCCCAGCAUUCUGAGAUGCGCUGCUCUCCUCCUCAACCAGUAAUAUCGCCGCGGAUAAAGAUUCCAUAGUUACGUUUAAUAAAAAUAAUAACAAUAUAAAAAUUUUACUUUUAUCUAUUUUCUUUGAACAGCAGUAAUUUGUGUAUUUUUGCUUUGUUAUGUUCCAGUUUCACAUAUUUCAAAGCAAACAGCUGAUUUCGAAAGAGUUAUAGCUCUUCCUCUUCUUCUUUCAAUCCAAUCGUAACGCAUGAUACCUAAUUUCGACUCCGGCGGAGCGUAGAGCGGGAACGUAAUCGAAAUGCAUGAUAGGGGUGAACAAUUGAUGAUAAAUAUCCAAUUUCAAAUGUAGUGUCGAUAUUGUCUAAUAUGGGUUAUUCGCAAUAUUUUACAACCCUUAAUUUGAAAUCAGGGGUCGAAUCGUUACAUCCGUGCACGGAUCGGCAAACAUACGAAAGAAAAUUACGUGAUACGUCAAUCGUAUGCGGUGAUUGGAAUUAUGACAUACGAUAGCAAAAGGAUCGUAAUGUAUUUCAAAUUCACAAUAGUUUUUAAAUUCCACAUUGCUUUGGAUCGUAUUUUUAGGUCACAAUAGAUGUGAAACUGUCAAAACUGUUGCGAAGUUUUUAAUAAAUUAACAAAAGCUAAUUAAAACUCGGCUAUAAUCGCAUAAGCGGUGUCUACGCCAAUUAAGAAGAAGAAGAAUUAAAUAUCAAAGUGAAUUCACUAAAGCUUUUUAUUUGAGCUUUCGUGAAAGUGAUGGGCAUAAAAAAUAGUGCAGAGAUAGCUAAGAGAUCGUAGCAAUAGCGUAGUUAUAAAAAAAAUUAUGAAUCCUCAUUAAUAAAAUUUUCUUUGCAGAUGUAUCGUUGAACAAAGCAUUAGAAUCUUAAAAAGACGGUGGAGUAUUUUAGGAUUUGGCAAGAGAGGAACCGCACAAAAGUGCAAGAUUUGCUAACGUUUGUGAGGCAUUACAUAACAUCUGUUCAAAUUGCGAUUCUUUUCACACACAAGAAAUGGACAACGGGGUAGCGAACCGCUUCACAUCUAUCGAACAACGUUAAGAGACCAAAUAAAUAAAUUUAUUUCAAAAAUGUAUAUGUCCUUAACCUUGUAAAUAAUUUUAUAUUUAUUGUCAUGUAAAAUACAAAAAUUUUGUUCAUACAAAUAACUUUUUUUUUAACUUUUAAUGAGAGAUUCCAUUCACUGGUUUCUUGUUUAUGUUCUUUAUUCCUAAAAAUUAUAAAAAACUUAAAUGUUAAAAAAAAAUUUGCCCACAUUUCCAUAAAUUUGUUUAUUACGAUUGGUAGUUUGCGUUUAUAUACUGGUUCACGUACGUAUGUCAUCAUGCCAUAUUACGAUAGAAGCGUUACGAUUACGUAUGUCAUAAUACGAAAUACAGGCUUUUACGUGACGAGUGAUACGUUCACGGAUGUGAGAUUCUGUACUGUGAUACAGUCUCAAGUCUCUAAAUUUGAGAUUUUGAGUUAGAGACAAUUUUUGAGACUUGAGACGAUUUUGCUAUUCUAUAAGUGACAGUCACAAAAUCUAUAACAUUUCAUUAUCCAGAGAUGUUUUUGCUUUUUUUUGUACUUGAAUGAAAAUAAACAUGUCGAUAACAAAUAUUAAAUUUUCUUUAACAUAGUUAAAAAACAUCAUUAUCCAUAAAAAUAAAAAUAUAUGUUUACUUUGUUUCGUAAUAUUUACGAAAUUUAUGUAAAAUUGAUUUAUUUUUAACCUUUUCGUGUUUGAGUUGCUUACAAAAUAUAAAAAAACGACAAACGAUUAAUAUCUAUGAUGAUCUCUAUUCAGUAUAUUCAAAAUGGUAGACAAGAAUUGUUUUUAGUUUUGUGACCUGCUAUCUACCAGGCCUCAAUAUUUUGAGAAUAACGUUAGAGACUGUUCAGUGAAUAGUAACUAGUCUCAAAUUGAGAUUUUACCUCAAAAUGUCUCAAAUAGAGACUAGAGACUGGUUACAGAAUCCCGCUAUUAGUAUCAUGAGUAUAACACUUAACAGCAUCGCCGCACUUGCAGAGCAAGAGCGCGUUCAUUGCUGUGAGAGUGAUCACUGUGCGUGACAAUGAAGAGUUGACAAAUAGUUAUUGAUUUGAUUCGAAUGUCAAUAAUUAUUGCUGAAUGAAUGAGAAACGGUAAUAAUAAUGCCAGAUUAGCCGUGCGAAUCUGUAACUUGAGACAGUCUCAAGUCUCUAAAUUUGAGAUUUUAAGUUAGAGACAAUUUUUGAGACUUAUAGCGGGAUUCUGUAACCAGUCUCUAGUCUCUAUUUGAGACAUUUUGAGGCAGUCUCAAUUUGAGACUAGUUACUAUUCACUAAACAGUCUCUAGCGUUAGUCUCAAAACAUUGAGACCUGGUAGUUAGCCGGUCACAAAACUAAAAAGAGCUCUUGUCUGCCAUUUUGAAUAUACUGAAUAGAGAUCAUCAUAGAUAUUAAUCGAUUGUCGUAUUUUUAUAUUUUGUAAGCAACUCAAAGACGAAAAAGUUAAAAAUGAAUAAAUUUUACAUAAAUUUCGUAAAUAUUAUGAAACAAAGUUAACAUAUAUUUUCAUUUUUAUUGAUAACUAUGUUUUUUGACGAUGUUAUAGAAAUUUUAAUAUUUGUUAUCGACAUAUUUAUUUCCAUUCAAGUGUAAAAACAUCUCUGAAUGAUGAAAUGUUAUAGAUUUUGUGACUGUCACUUACAGAAUAGCAAAAUCAUCUCAAGUCUCAAAAAUUGUCUCUAACUUAAAAUCUCAAAUUUAGAGACUUGAGACUGUCUCACGUUACAGAAUCGCACGGUUAGAC